GGAUAGCUCAGUCAGUAGAGCAUGAGACUCUUAAUCUCAAGGUCAUAGCUUCGAGCCCCACGUUGGGCA